GACGAACUGUCGGAUCGAUUCUCCUUGCGAUGAUUGUCAAGAAUAUAUAUUCUCAGGAAUCUACUCUUAUUAAUUUACCAUAUCUUUUCGGCAAAGAAGUAUACCAGAAUUAGAUUAUAACAUUAGACUCGAUCAGGUCUAUUUGAAACUGUUGGGCAUUAGAAGGAUGAACAUGAAAAAAGUAUUUGUGAUUUGCUGAGAUAUUGCAGAAAUGAGCUUGCUACUGAGAUACAUUGGUUCGUGGCUGGACACCAUUUAAUAGAAGUGUGAUACAUAGUCAAAUCUAUUCAAAUUUAACACAUAACGAAAAAUUGAGUUAAAUGCUAAUGUUAUUUUGCAUAUAUAUUGCGAGUCGCAAUGACCAAAUAUUUUAUCACCGUAGAAUGGUAUAGGAACGAGAAUGGUUUUGGCGAUUAGCAGCUUUAUAUCUACGGACAGGAAUAAUUUUGUAUCGGAAAGUUUACGUAGCGCGCCAUAUGUUCGCCGUGUAGCUGUUCUUAAGUGCUUGCUAUAAGAAAAUGUGUUACUAAAUGUAAUUCCCAAAUUUACUGCGUGUUCUAGGUGUAGAGUUGAAGUAAAAACAGUUCUUUUGACGAUGACAAUAUAAUUAGAUUUUGCCUAUUCCUAAGCUAUUCAAUUCCUUCCAUUUAUAUUUCAUGGAGGGAUUGUUGUUAAAUAGCUCAAAGAAGUUGGGUCGACUAAAAUCGAAUUUUCGAAAUUUGAAAAGCGGAAUCGUUUGCCCACUUUUUCCCACCAAUUAGUUUUUUUUUGCCCACCUCCAGUUUUGAAAACAU